rnacentral:rRNA from 1 species
CCUUGGGGGGAAUUAGGGUUCGAUUCCGGAGAGGGAGCCUGAGAAACGGCUACCACUUCCAAGGAAGGCAGCAGGCGCGCAAAUUACCCAAUACUGAUUCGGUGAGGUAGUGACAAGAAAUACCAAUGUAGGACCCAACGGGUACUACGUUUGGAAUGAGUACAAUUUAAAAACCUUAACGAGGAACAAUUGGAGGGCAAGUCUGGUGCCAGCAGCCGCGGUAAUUCCAGCUCCAAUAGUGUAUAUUAAAGUUGCUGCGGUUAAAAAGCUCGUAGUUGGAUUUCGGAGUUGUUAUCUGAACCUCCCCUAAAAAGGUGGCUAGGGUAGCAGUAGUCAUCAUCAAAGUCCACCUUGACAUUCUCUUGGUGCGUACUGGGUGUUGACCUCCUUUAGUUCUGUGAAUUGCUAUCUAGCAAUAGGUAGUUAGUUCCAGAUAGUUUACUUUGAAAAAAUUAGAGUGUUCAAAGCAGGCACAACCUGGCAUCAUGAAUACAUUAGCAUGGGAUAAUAGAAUAUGACAUUGGUCUUAUUUUGUUGGUUUCUAAGGCCAAAGUAAUGAUUGAUAGGGAUAGUUGGGGCCGCUCGUAUUGAGUUGUCAGAGGUGAAAUUCUAGGAUUUACUCAAGACGAACUAAUGCGAAAGCAUUCGGCAAGGAUGUUUUCAUUAAUCAAGAACGAAAGUUGGGGGAUCGAAGAUGAUCAGAUACCGUCGUAGUCUCAACCAUAAACUAUGUCAACCGAGGAUCCGGUAGCGUUACAUGGAUGACCUUCCGGGCACUCUGUGAGAAAUCAUAAGUAUUUGGAUUUCGGGGGGAGUAUGGUCGCAAGGCUGAAACUUAAAGGGAUUGACGGAAGGGCACCACCAGGAGUGGAAUCUGCGGCUUAAUUUGACCCAACACGGGGAAACUUACCAGGUCCGGACACAGUGAGGAUUGACAGAUUGAGAGCUCUUUCUUGAUUCUGUGGGUGGUGGUGCAUGGCCGUUUUUAGUUGGUGGAGUAAUUUGUCUGGUUAAUUCCGUUAACGAACGAGACCUUAACCUAUUAAAUAGUCAUGUGAACCCAGGUCUUUCAUCCUUUCUUUCUCUCGCAAGGGAGGGGGGGAGGAAAUCAUUAUCAUUGGCACUCUUCUGGGUGUCAGUGGUAGUGAUGAGGAUCUGAUAGUGUUCAUAGAGGCUUCUUAGAGGGACUCUUUGCAUCUUUAGCAAAUGGAAGUUUGAGGCAAAAACAGGUCUGUGAUGCCCUUCGAUGUUCUGGGCUGCACGCGCGUUACAAUGACGCAUGCAACGAGCUUUAAAUUCCUGGCCCGAUGGGGUUGGGUAAUCUUUUUAAAGUGCGUCGUGAUGGGGAUAGAGCAUUGCAAUUAUUGUUCUUAAACGAGGAAUUCCUAGUAAUUGCAGGUCAUCAACCUGCGAUGAUUACGUCCCUGCCCUUUGUACACACCGCCCGUCGCUCCUACCGAUGGUUGAACCGAUGAGGACUCGGGAUGACCUAGAAUGUUAUUGGCUGCAAGGUCAGUAGCUUCUAAAGCAGAACUUGUUCAAAUCUUUUUAACUAGAGGAAGGAGAAGUCGUAACAAGGUUUCCGUAGGUGAACCUGCGGAAG